ACAGCACCUUCAAAGACAGUUCAGCAGGCCUAUGUGCUGUACAUACUCCAAAGAAAGUUAACAAGGAACUGUGAGGCAAUGUAGCAAGAGUGACAGCAUAUGCUAAGCAUGAAUAAAGGAGGUGAGCACCACAGGAGAUAUAUAAAUGGACCGGCAACCUUUUUAAAAGCUGCCUGGCUUUUUGAAAGAAGAAAUGAAAUAUAUGCUGCUAACACUCUUGAAAUAUAGGGAAGUUGAUUAAAGUGACUGGAAAGAAUGAUUGGUUCCUAAGGCACCACUUCUGCAAGCAAACUUCUCAAGAAGAGCAUCUCCCUGUGCCCAGCUUGUUGCUUCACAAUUCUGAAAGCAUUUUCUCCCAGAGGAGGUGUCCUGCUGAUGGUGGACUUCGUUUCUUCUGAGAGACCAUCAGCCUGCUCAGGGCACAAAAUGUACAUAUCUGCUGUCAUAGAUAGCUACAGUGAACAUCCAUGAAGUGAUAGGCAGGGCCAGUCCAAGACAUUUUGCCACCAGUGGCGAAUCAGAAAAUGGCAUGCUGCCCAGGAAUCAUAGUUUGUUAACGGUGAUAUAUAGAUGUAGAACAGGGAACAGUCACUCCCCUCAUUUGCCUCCUACCUUCUCUGUGGCCCCAACAGCAAUGAGUGAGAUGCUACACCCUGUCUCCCACACUCCUUGGUAUCUUCCAUCUAGGUGAGCUCACAAGAGGCAUUAUCAGAGCUCAAGGAUACAUUUUAGGCACCCAAGGGUGAUGUAAAGGAGAGCCAGUAAGGGGUGUGAUCUGGAGACAGCCUGUGAUUGGUUUCCUGCCUGAGAUUCCCCACCCUUUUAGCAAGCCAUUAGCUUGAGAUUGCAAGAAUCCAUGGCAUUUACAUCUAAAAGGGGCAGCAUAAUGAAGUAGAGCAACCAGGCCUGCAAUGAAAUUUUGGCUGAGAGAGUAUGAACUGUUCAUGGCGAUCUUCUUGGGCUUCUUCUGGGGCCACCCCUAAAAGAAUUGCCCCACUGAACAGUUGCUUGUCUUGCUUUUCGGUGAUGAAGCCGCCCCUGAGUGGAGCAGAGCUCAAACCUCUCCUAGAUUCACACCGCUUCCAGGUCAAGCAUUGUUGUUCCUUCCUUGCAGCCUCUCAAAAUGAUUCCUAUGAAGUCAACCGUUCAGUAUCUUGUUUCCCCUUAGAUAAUUUCUUGAAUUACUCAUUCAGUGAAGAGGGUGUAAAUUAUGCUUCAUUUCUAUCCAUGAUUAUUAAUAUAUUAGACAAGCAUUUUGAAAACGAAGAUAAAAGCCUUCUCCAAAGUU